GGUGUGAGGGCCAGGAACCCUAAAAGCACACCACUCUGAAAAUGCAAACACAGAGUAGCACCCUAAGCUGCUCUGCGAGCCAAACAUGCUGCAGCAAAACAAGCAACAGGGCACCUGCCAGCCAGGGCUGGCCCGCACUCACCACAUCAGAUCUACCAGGGCCACUGAUGAAGAUCAGUCAGGCAGAGGGACAAGCCCAGAGGGGCUGCGGACCCACAGGCCUUGGGGUAGGAGAGAAAUGAGCUGGAUGGAGAGGCAAAGGCAGGGG
rnacentral:lncRNA from 1 species